rnacentral:lncRNA from 1 species
GGUCGUCGUAGAAGCGAACGUGGAUGCGCCGGAACAGCUUGGUGUCCAGCGCCGCCUUCAUCCUCGGGUCAGGGUAGGAGCACCUCACCGUCGCCGUGAGCAUGAUGCCGAUGGGGUCGCGGAUGUUCUGGUUGUAGUCGUUGAUGCGGUUGGCGAGGUCGUCGUAGUGGUCGGCUGGGCCGUUGUCGAUGAAGAAGUCGACGCCGUUGACGAUGGUGUCGUCGCCGAAGGGGUGGAAGGCGCCGGGGCGGUCGCCGCCGAGGACGGAGUAGUAGAGGUUUUCGGCGACGUCGGCGGCGGACUUGGAGGAAGGGAGGGAGUAUUGGUAGCCGUCGCCGCCGAUGGAGAGGAGCAUGUAGACGCCCUUGGACUGGCAGUGGCGGAUGUCGGCGCCGACGUCGCGAAGGUCGUGGCCGGAGAGGUCGAGCCAGUAUUUGCCGUGGCCGAAGACGCUGAGGAAGGAGAUGAUGACGAUGUUGUAGUCGCCGGUGUCGCAGGUUUGCCGGAGCGAGCCCUCGGCCUUGUUGCGGCCCCAGAAGACGGCGACGUUCUGCCUCUUUCCUUGAGGAUAGGCGGCGGCCAACUGGAGGAGCAGUAGCAAGGAGAGGAGGACGGCGGUGGCAGAUGAUCGCCGGCGUUGGGACGCCAUCGUGUGUAUGCUGAUGAUUCGAUGGUGAUGAGAUUAAUUAGGUGCAGAUGAGCUUGCAUAUAUAUACAUGUAGUAGUAGCUCUAGCUAAGCUAGCAAAAUUUGCAACAACUAGCUAGCAUUUGGACAGAUCGAUUGAUCGUUAGGUAGUAGCAAUUCGCAAUCCACGGCGGGUGGGUGUAAUCCGGAGCUUAGCUAGCACGCAUGAGCUCUCUGUUCAGUUUGACUAGUUUGUUUUAGUUCUAGUACAUACAUAUAUGCUCUGUCUGUGUUUCCUGCUUUUACAAUACAGCCAGCGGCGGCACACAGGAAAAGACUAUGCUGCAAUGCUAUGCUUCUCCUGUCCAUCAGGUUAUUACCACAAAAACAGGGAAAGUGAAAUCACAACACAAAUAAAAUUUCCUUUCCUGACUCAUGAGUACGUACCCAGAGCCAGAAGAAGGAAGAAUGCUGCAAGUGCUGAGUGGGGGCCUAUUUCCCUGGCCUUUACGCAAACGACCGGCCGGAUCGGAUAAGAGAAUUUUAGACCAACGCUUUCGAUCUAGCUGUCUCUGCUUCUUCAAGCUACUCCUAUCAACUAUAUCAUACACGACAAUAUCUAUAUAUAUAUGUGAUCUGGAUGGUCAUAUCUCAACAACAAAUUUCUUCAAUCCUUUUUCUAGUAGUGUGCAUGAAUCCAUUAACUUACACGCACCAUAGGAGAGGGGCCUGCGACACCAACGGCUAGUCAUCACCUUCUAUAACGUCUUCGUUAUCCAUAGUUGGGCUAUUUUCCGCUAUAUUAUAAGUAUAUAGGCAAAGAAGGUACCUUGAGCUAAUAAGGAAGGACUAUGUGGUUCCACUUGGGGUGCAAAAUAUCUUGCCUGCCCUUAUCUCCUAUCCGAGUCUUCUAGAUCUCCUGGUUCUUAUUCCCGAAAAAAGAUCUCCUGGUUCUAUUUGAAGAAUAGAUUAUAUUUUGAUAUAAAUAUAGAGCCACCAAGAGAGGAGAGUAUUGAAUCAUGUAAAGAGAGAACAUUGUGCAGGGUGUGCGAGAGGUUCUUAGAAGAAGACAUCAAGAGCAUCGUUGACAAACGCCUAGCGGAGAUGUUGCCUUAGUGCCUUUUUGGUCUUUGUAAAUAUUACUACCUCCAUAUUUUAAUGUUUGACGCCGUUGAUUUUUUAUCCAACGUUUGACCAUUCAUCUUAUUCAAAAAAAUUAUGUAAUUAUCAUUUAUUUUAUUGUGACUUGAUUCAUCAUCAAAUGUUCUUUAAGCAUGACAUAAAUAUUUUCAUAUUUACACAAAAAAUUUGAAUAAGAUGAAUGGUCAAACGUUGGAUAAAAAGUCAACGGCGUCAUACAUUAAAAUAUGGAGGUAGUACUUUUAUUCCUUACAUGUAAAUAUUGCUCCCUGCUUAUUCAAUGAAUGGCAAGUUGUGCCGUCGUUCAAAAAAAAGAGCGUCAUUGACCCGAGGACAAGAUCGAGCAAAUUGUGGUCUCAACUCUGUACCGUUGAAGGUGGUCAAUCUCGCCAUGCAUUGCACAAGGCGUUACAGGGGCGUGAUCGACAAACGAUAGCGCAGGUGAUGGAGGAGGGUAUAAGGGAGAGCUUGCAACUCGAGAGCUCUUUGCAUUCUAUGAGGUGCAGCUCCACUAGGGAUACUCGCCGAUGCCGAGUCCAUUGGCUUGCUGAGUCGGAACAUCGGAGAAACAUCAGCUCGAUCACUUGCAUUGUAGUCUUUAAAUUUCUCGGUCCACAAGUAUAUACGGAUUUCAUCACUAUAUUAGAUUGUGUUGACACCCAAAUUUAACAUCUAUACGAAAGUAUAGAAAGUUUUGGUCAAAAUUAAAAAAGACCCAAACAUUUCAUACAGGACCAGUCUGACCUGUGGCAUACGACCAUACCGACCGGCGGCAUGGGGUUGGACAGAUUCCAACGGUCGGUCUGACUGAGGCUGACUCCGAGUCCAACUACGAUGUUUCAUGUAUUUCUUUGUUUGGACCUGGGGUUUUCUGAAUCCUAUUUGAUUUAUAGCUAAUAGGACGUGGAAAAGGCUCUGUGGAGGUAAGACCAAUCUCUUUAUAAUGGCUAUGAUCAGUUUAAUUGAGAACACACAAUCUAUAAUUAACACAUUAGCCAAUAAAAAUGUUCUUUUAAUAUUGUCGUCUAUUCUUUUACCUAGUUUUUAGCCUAGCUCAUCCAUUUUGGGUCGGUUCGCGUUGUAAGCCAUCUGUCCUCACUGCGAGAGUGCGAUUCUUCUUUGUAGGCUUAUCUAGAAAGCCUUCCAUUUCGUCCACGAGAGGAGUGUUUAUCAUAAUUAGUCUAAAUCAGCUCUGCUAACUGAUUUUUAUUUCUAAACCCACCUUAGAUCAGGAUCUUCUCAAGGAAAGGUGGUUGGUGACUCCCUCCUGGCUACUUUUUUAUGUUCUUUUUUUCCUUGUCAAUUAGCUAGAAUAAUUUUUUUGAUACAUUUGUAACCAUUAUUUUAUUCUAGUUAAUUUACUAAAGUUAAUUUAGGGCUUAAGCAUUUUCUUGGAAAAUCUAUUGUUAUUAAUUCUUUUACAUGGCAGGCCUUAUUACUUUGUAUAUCAGUGGCCAAAAGUUUCUGUACCCAUUUUGAAAGGUUGCUUUGUUUCAGUUUGAGAGCUAUACAAGUACUCCCUCCGUUUUUUAAUAGAUGACGCCGUUAAUUUUUUCUUACAUAUUUGACCAUUCGUCUUAUUCAAUUUUUUUUUACAAAUAUAUAAGAUAUAAAUCACACUUAAAGUACUAUGAGUGAUAAAACAACUCAUAUCAAAAUAAAUUACAAUUACGUAAAUUUUUGGAAUAAGACGAAUGGUCAAACAUGUGAGAAAAAGUCAACGGUGUCAUCAAUUAAAGAACGAAGGUAGUACUAUAUAUGUAGUUAAACUUUCUAAAAUUGGACCAUUAGUAACGUUAACGACGGACUUAUUUCCCUCAUGAUUUUAAUGCUAUUCAUUAGGGACUAUCUAUGUGGCUUUUGACAAGGAGAAAAAGCCCAAAUUGUACAAAUUUUGAACCAUUGGAUCACUUUGGGAUUCGUGUAACAUAUCUAAACUUAGCAUUUUCUCCUUCCCUCCUCAAUUCACCCGCUGCCACCACUUCCACGCACUCGCGCUCUUCCUCCACUGGAUCCUCCACCACCGCGCGCAGCCUCCUAAAUAGUCUUGCAUUUUGCCCAUGCGACCAAUGUUGGCCCACCGCGCCACUGGUCCUCUGCCGCCCACGGCCAUCACUUUAAGCCCCGAGAAAACCCCCCUCUUCCCCCUCCCCAACCGCCUCCUAUCUUACCCUAACCACAAACCUUAAUUCGUAUGUCCCCUACCGGAGUUGUAGAUGUCGCCAGUGCCGGAAAAGGGGGGAGCUUGCCGGAGUCUAAGAAGAAGAAGCCCAUGCACAAAUCUUGAUGUGGAUCCAAUGGUCCAAAACCUAUAAAAUUUCAUUCCUAAAUUUCGGUCUAAUAACAUUUAGCAAAUCCGUAUUCAUUAAACAUCAUGUACAACUUCAUUAUACAUCAAUACAUACACAGUUGCAAAAAGGAAAAAAGGGAAAAAGAAAAGUACAGAUACAUCGAUCACACAUGCAUAUAUGACACACUAGAGUUGUGCAAAUAAAAAAAACACUUGCUCUCGAGACCAAGAUCAAAAAACAACAAACAACAUGUAAUUAAGUGGGGGUAGUUUACUACAUUAAACCCAUGACACCGUGAUUACUGCGAUAGUGAUUGAGCUGCAUGCACUGUAGUAGAUUAUUAUAGCUGGUUGAUCUGAGCUUAAAUUAAUUGAUUAAAUUAAGCCCAGUGCUUGACAUAUCUUCCGUAGUGAGUCUUGGAGUCGUAGUAGCUGUUCCAGAGCGUCACUCCCGCGUAGCUCUCCGUCUUCUGCACCGCCGGCAGCAGCUUCCGGCUGAGCUCCCCGACGCCGACCAUGUCGUUCUUCCCCGUCACGUUCGCCGCCGCGAGCCCCAGGAAGAUCCGGCUGUUUGGGUACCUCGCCGACCACCUGUUCCACUGCGCCAUGACGCCGGCGAGCCCCGCGUGGUUGUACGAGCACCUCGGGUCGUCGUAGAACCUCACGUGGAUCUGCGUGAACAGCUUGGUGUCCAGCGCCUUCUUCAUCCUCGGGUCAGGGUACGAGCACCUCACCGUCGCCGUCAGCAUGAUGCCGAUGGGGUCGUGGAUGUUCUGGUUGUAGUCGUUGAUGCGGUUGGCGAGGUCGUCGUAGUGGUCGCCGGGGCCGUGGUCGAUGAAGAAGUUGACGCCGUUGACGAUGGUGUCGUCGCCGAAGGGGCGGAAGAUGCCGGCGCGUGGGCGGCCGAGGAAGGAGUGGUAGAGGUUGUAGGCGACGUCGGCGGCGGACUUGG